AUCAAACUGGGAGAUAGCUCGUACUCCCCGAAAUGUCUUUUGGGACAGCCUCAAGCUACAGAGUUUACCGGAGGUAGAGCUACUGAUAGGAUGCGAGGGCUUCACCGCCUAUCAAAUCCUGACAAACUCCGAAUGCCGGUAAAUGAUGCUUGGGAGUGAGUUGCCGGGUGCUAAUGUCCGGUAGCGAGAGGGAAAGAGCCCAGACCAACGGCUAAGGCCCCUAAAGUGUGUUAAGUUGACAGAACGAGGUGCGGUUGCUGAGACAGCUAGGAUGUUAGCUUGGAAGCAGCUAGUCAUUUAAAGAGUGCGUAACAGCUCACUAGUCGAGCGACUGUGCGUGGAUAAUAAUCGGGCAUCAAACACACUGCCGAAGCCAUGGACUUCAAAGAAGUGGUAGGGGAGCAUUCCAGAGGGCGUAGAAGGAUAACCUGUGAAGGAAUCUGGAGCGUCUGGAAAAGCAGAUGUAGGCAUAAGUAACGAUAAUGCGGGUUAAAAACCCGCACACCGCAAGCCCAAGGUUUCCUGAUCAAUGUUAGACAGAUCAGGGUUAGUCAGGACCUAAGGGGAAUCCGAGAGGAGCACCCGAUGGACAAAUGGUUAAUAUUCCAUUACCUGUAUGAUAAAGGGGAGGAGUGACGUAGGAGUGACAUGUACGCCGACUGACGGAAUAGUUGGUUAAAGCACGUAAGCAGAUCCGAAGAUUAAGAGUCAUUGGAUGCAGAAGUGCGACAGUACCGCAAGGCUUCGGCUGCGCGGAUAGUUACAGUAAGCAGACUACCGAGAAAAGCUUCGUACCCGUUACCUAUCAUAGAGCCUGUACCGUAAACCGACACAGGUGGGCGAGGAGAGUAUCCUCAGGUGCUCGAGAGAAUCAUGGCUAAGGAACUCGGCAAAAUGACCCCGUAACUUCGGGAAAAGGGGUCCCUGGCGACAGGGCGCAGAGAAAUGGCCCAGGCGACUGUUUAACAAAAACACAUGGCUUUGCAAAAUCGCAAGAUGAAGCAUAAGGCCUGACACCUGCCCGGUGCUGGAAGGUUAAGAGGGGGCGUCAGCCGCAAGGCGAAGCGCUGAAUCGAAGCCCCAGUAAACGGCGGCCGUAACUAUAACGGUCCUAAGGUAGCGAAAUUCCUUGUCGGGUAAGUUCCGACCUGCACGAAUGGUGUAACGAUCUGGGCGCUGUCUCAGCCAUGAGCUCGGUGAAAUUGUAGUAACGGUGAAGAUGCCGUUUACCCGCAACGGGACGAAAAGACCCCGUGAACCUUUACUAUAGCUUAGCGCUGAUUUUGGAUAAGUGAUGUGUAGGAUAGGUGGGAGACUGCGAAGCAGGUACGCCAGUAUUUGUGGAGUCGCCGUUGAAAUACCACCCUUUGCUUAUCUGGGAUCUAACUUGAACAAGGACACCGCUUGGUGGGUAGUUUGACUGGGGUGGUCGCCUCCAAAAGCGUAACGGAGGCUUCCCAAGGUGCACUCGGCACGGAUGGUAAUCGUGCACAGAGUAUAUUGGCACAAGUGCGCUUGACUGUGAGACCAACAAGUCGACCAGGUACGAAAGUAGGGCAAAGUGAUCCGGUGGUUCCGCAUGGGUGGGCCAUCGCUCAAAGGAUAAAAGGUACUCCGGGGAUAACAGGCUGAUCGCUCCC
rnacentral:rRNA from 1 species